AAGACAGGUGGUGCAUGGCUGUCGUCAGCUCGUGUCGUGAGAUGNUUGGGUUAAGUCCCGCAACGAGCGCAACNCUUGUUAUUAGUUNGCCAGCAUUAAGUUGGGCACUCUAAUGAGACUGCCGGUGACAAACCGGAGGAAGGUGGGGAUGACGUCAAGUCAUCAUGCCCCUUAUGACCUGGGCUACACACGUGCUACAAUGGGCRGUACAANCGAGWAGCGAGNNCCUGCGAAGGGCAAGCNGAAUCUCUGAAAGCYGUUCUCAGUUCGGAUUGUNAGUCUGCAACUCG
rnacentral:rRNA from 1 species